rnacentral:tRNA from 1 species
GCUUCCUUAGCUCAGCUGGCCAGAGCGUUCGCCUUGUAAGCGAAGGGUCGUUGGUUCGAAUCCGACAGGAAGCU